CAAGAAAAGAACCUACAGCAAUUAAAAUAGAUCCUAGCCAGAUUAUGGACAUAGCAGGUUUGUAAUACACCUUAGUUGCUAUGCUAUCUUUAUUAAUUUCUCCUAUUACAACAUAAAUAUCAGAAAAUAGGUUGUGAUAGAUGCUGCUUUCAGCAUUUCUCUGACCUUCCACAAGAUAGAAUCUAUAUUCAGGCGUUAUUUUUCCUAGUAU